rnacentral:lncRNA from 1 species
AUGCAGACGAAAAUGCAGAGACUGCAAGUGUUUUGCUGUGGAAGGGGGAGGAUUAUAGCAGAGUGGACUUCUGUCUUCAGGCCUGGAGCAGGCGUGGGAGGUUCCUGCUUGACGAUGGCUGAGAUUUUCUUCAGCCCACGUACCCGACCAGCUUGUAAAUGGUUCCCUCUCGUUUGGCUUCAGGAGUGGCAGGGCCCCUUUCUGCCUGACCUCCAGGUAAUUCCGUGGCUCAGUGUGUGGCUCAGAUUUAGCAAGCCCCUGAACUCGCUCUCCGAGUCAAAUGGGACGAAGAUGCAGAGGGCCGACUGUGAGCUCUGGUGCCUCGGGGGUGCAGUUCCAGGGGCCCGGCAGGUCCAGAGGAGGGGAGGAGUUAGCUCUGUCAGUUACAUCUCAAACCGAACCACAGGAGGCUUAUAGACUACAGUUAGUGUGUUCAUGCCCAUCAACUUGUUGGGGGAGGGGUCAGGGGCUGCAAAGUCUGAUGGACCAGUGAUGACUGGUCUCUACCCACUAAGCCUCAAAGUUCUUGACUUCUUUAUGGCAAUGUUCCCCAGUAGUUCCUUCUAGGUAUAUGCUACCAUGUGAAAAAUUCUUGUUUCAGCUCCCUGGCCUAAUCCGGAUCGUUCUCUUGAACUUUUAGCAUCCGUAGAAUCGCGUGUGUUUACUGCAUUUACUUUAGCCCAGCUGGGACACUUGAUCAAACCCUCACUGGCACCAUUUUAUUUCUCGGGAGUUGCCUUGGCCCUUGAUUCCAGCAAGGAGACAAAAGAGAGACACUGCGUCAAGGGCUGGGCACAUCCCCACAGGCCGGGCUGACUGGCCUCUGAGAAGUCUUCACAAAGGCAUGAGUAUUCUAUAAGAAGGCCACUUCCUGGUUUCCAGUGUGAUUCUCUGGAUAGGUGAGAAAGAACUGUGGCCUCCAUCUGCCACACAGUGUGUGUGUGUGUAUGUGUGUGUGUGUGUGUGUGCGCGCGCGUAUGUGUGAGUAUGCGUGUGUGAACGCUUGUCAUUUUGAAAAAUUUCAAACUUUAUGUAGCAGUUUCUUUCUCACCAGGGUCUCUGCUUGUGUGAAACUUUAAUUUUAUAGCUUUGGCUGUUAAUUCAUCAUGGGCACCACCAUUAAUAAAUAUUUAUGGAGCUUUCA